rnacentral:rRNA from 1 species
AUUGAACGCUGGCGGCAUGCUUUACACAUGCAAGUCGAACGGUAACAGGCCUUCGGGUGCUGACGAGUGGCGAACGGGGGAGUAAUGCAUCUGAACGUGCCCAGAGGUGGGGGAUAACGCAGCGAAAGCUGUGCUAAUACCGCAUGUGAGCUGAGGGUGAAAACGGGGGGCCUGGCAGCAAUGUUUGGCCUCGCGCCUUUGUAGCUGGCGAUGUCGGAUUAGGUGGUUGGUGGGGUAAAGGGCUAACAAUCCGACGAUCUGUAGCUGGUCUGAGAGGACGACCAGCCACACUGGGACUGAGACACGGCCCAGACUCCUACGGGAGGCAGCAGUGGGGAAUUUUGGACAAUGGGCGCAAGCCUGAUCCAGCAAUGCCGCGUGCGGGAAGAAGGCCUUCGGGUUGUAAACCGCUUUUGUUCGGAACGAAAAGGAUCUGGCUAAUACCUGGGGCUGAUGACGUUACCGUAAGAAUAAGCACCGGCUAACUACGUG